rnacentral:rRNA from 1 species
GCACAACGCGAAGAACCUUACCAAGGCUUGACAUGCAUCUCUAAGCGCGUGAAAGCGCGUGACCCUUCGGGGGAUUUGCACAGGUGCUGCAUGGCCGUCGUCAGCUCGUGUCGUGAGAUGUUGGGUUAAGUCCCGCAACGAGCGCAACCCUUGUGACUAGUUGCCAGCACGUUAUGGUGGGAACUCUAGUCAGACUGCCCAGAUCAACUGGGGAGGAAGGUGGGGACGACGUCAGGUCAGUAUGGCCCUUACGCCUUGGGCUGCACACGUACUACAAUGCCCAGUACAAUGAGAACCGAGACCGCGAGGUGGAAGAAAUCUAAAAAACUGGGCCCAGUUCGGAUUGGAGGCUGCAACUCGCCUCCAUGAAGUUGGAAUCGCUAGUAAUGGCGCAUCAUCUACGGCGCCGUGAAUACGUUCCCGGGUCUUGUACACACCG